UGCGGUUUUUCUUGCUGGACGAGGUGAGCGCAACAUUUGUCUGUGAUAUUUUCACCCCUGAGGCUAAGGCAGGGAGAUUUUAAGUUUAAGCCAUCCUGGACUACACGCGUUCUGAGCCAGCCUGGACUACUUCGUGAGAUCCCAGGGUGUGUGUGUGUGUGUGUGUGUGUGUGUGUGUGUGUUGGGGAUGUAUCUCAGUUGUUAAGUUGGUAGGGUGCCUGCUGAGCAUGCUAGAAAACGAUGAUGGUGGCAGCCACCAGCCCCUGAUUUUGAAGAGUCUGAGAGACCCUUGGAGGCUCUGAGGAGUGACAUGAUGGUGGAAAAGGAGUCUGCAGGGACUGAAAUAGCUCCAGAACAACUAAAAUUAAAAUAAAAUAAAGUAAAAUAAAAUACAGUAGUGAAGGCAAGUUUUAUGGGAAGAUGCUUUUAAAAUGUGGACUCAUGCAAUUGGAAGGAAAGAUGGCAGAACAAAAC
rnacentral:lncRNA from 1 species